rnacentral:lncRNA from 1 species
GGCCGGGCUAGGCCGUCAUUAUAAAUAAGAAUUUGUUCUUAACUGACUUGCCUAGUUAAAGGUUAAAUUAGAUGUUUUUAUAAAAGACAGAAGAACUUUGUCUAGAAUAACUGCCUGAGCUGCAAAAUAGAAAGUCAAUAUGAUUUAGACUAGGUCUAUUCUGCUGUCUAAAUAGGUCUAUUCCGCUGUCUAAAUAGGUCUAUUCCGCUAUCUAAAUGGGCCUAUUCCGCUAUCUAAAUGGGCCUAUUCCGCUAUCUAAAUGGGCCUAUUCCGCUAUCUAAAUCGGCCAUGCUGUUGUGUGUUAUGUAACAUAUACUGCUCCAAAAAAUAAAGGGAACACUUAAACAACACAUCCUAGAUCUGAAUGAAUGAAAUAAUCUUAUUAAAUAUUUUUUUGUUUACAUAGUUUAAUGUGCUGACAACAAAAUCACACAAAAAGAAUCAAUGGAAAUCCAAUUUAUCAACCCAUGGAGGUCUGGAUUUGGCGUCACACUCAAAAUUAAAGUGGAAAACCACACUACAGGCUGAUCCAACUUUGAUGUAAUGUCCUUAAAACAAGUCAAAAUGAGGCUCAGUAGUGUGUGUGGCCUCCACGUGCCUGUAUGACCUCCCUACAACGCCUGGGCAUGCUCCUGAUGAGGUGGCGGAUUGUCUCCUGAGGGAUCUCCUCCCAGACCUGGACUAAAGCAUCCGCCAACUCCUGGACAGUCUGUGGUGCAACGUGGCGUUGGUGGAUGGAGCGAGACAUGAUGUCCCAGAUGUGCUCAAUUGGAUUCAGGUCUGGGGAACGGGCGGGCCAGUCCAUAGCAUCAAUACCUUCCUCUUGCAGGAACUGCUGACACACUCCAGCCACAUGAGGUCUAGCAUUGUCUUGCAUUAGGAGGAACCCAGGGCCAACCGCACCAGCAUAUGGUCUCAC